GAUAUAGCAUGCGGGAGCUUGCGGAAGCAGGCUGAGAGUACGGCUAUAUUCCGCCGUUGACCGUUUGAACCUGUUUGGGUAAUGCCAGCGCAGGGAAAGUGAGGAUGGGGCCG
rnacentral:ncRNA from 2 species